rnacentral:rRNA from 1 species
UGGGGAAUAUUGCACAAUGGGCGAAAGCCUGAUGCAGCGACGCCGCGUGAGGGAUGACGGCCUUCGGGUUGUAAACCUCUUUCAGCAGGGAAGAAGCGAAAGUGACGGUACCUGCAGAAGAAGCGCCGGCUAACUACGUGCCAGCAGCCGCGGUAAUACGUAGGGCGCAAGCGUUGUCCGGAAUUAUUGGGCGUAAAGAGCUCGUAGGCGGCUUGUCACGUCGGGUGUGAAGCCCGGGGCUUAACCCCGGGUCUGCAUUCGAUACGGGCUAGCUAGAGUGUGGUAGGGGAGAUCGGAAUUCCUGGUGUAGCGGUGAAAUGCGCAGAUAUCAGGAGGAACACCGGUGGCGAAGGCGGAUCUCUGGGCCAUUACUGACGCUGAGGAGCGAAAGCGUGGGGAGCGAACAGGAUUAGAUACCCUGGUAGUCCACGCCGUAAACGGUGGGAACUAGGUGUUGGCGACAUUCCACGUCGUCGGUGCCGCAGCUAACGCAUUA